UCCAUCUGUUACCAUUUAUUCAACCGCCAUCACUUCCUCCAUCAUUAUAUCAUCACCAGGUAUCAGAGAGUGACUCUCCUCCAACUGUAUCUUGACUUUCUUUGUAGAUCGGUGCUCUUCCAGAAGCAUUGAUUUGAAGUUCAGAGGAAGCCAAGAUGUCCCCAAUUGUUCCAAGCUCAGGGCAUUCCUCCCAGUCACUCAUCCCAGUUGUUAUAAGCGAGUCUCUUCUCCCUUUGCCUACCACAAACAAUGAGGGUACCUGUUGCAAAAAUCUUCCAAGAAGCUGUUAUCUCUCUCACUUUCAGUCUCGUUAGUUGAUAUUGACAUUAAGAUCUCAUGAUUCUGGCUAGAGGUAUUGCUGAUUGGGUUCUGUUUGUUUGUUGACGUGG